GAUGAACGCUGGCGGCGUGCCUAAUACAUGCAAGUCGAGCGAACAGACGAGGAGCUUGCUCCUCUGACGUUAGCGGCGGACGGGUGAGUAACACGUGGAUAACCUACCUAUAAGACUGGGAUAACUUCGGGAAACCGGGGCUAAUACCGGAUAAUAUAUUGAACCGCAUGGUUCAAUAGUGAAAGACGGUUUUGCUGUCACUUAUAGAUGGAUCCGCGCCGCAUUAGCUAGUUGGUAAGGUAACGGCUUACCAAGGCAACGAUGCGUAGCCGACCUGAGAGGGUGAUCGGCCACACUGGAACUGAGACACGGUCCAGACUCCUACGGGAGGCAGCAGUAGGGAAUCUUCCGCAAUGGGCGAAAGCCUGACGGAGCAACGCCGCGUGAAUGAUGAAGGUCUUCGGAUCGUAAAACUCUGUUAUUAGGGAAGAACAAAUGUGUAAGUAACUAUGCACGUCUUGACGGUACCUAAUCAGAAAGCCACGGCUAACUACGUG
rnacentral:rRNA from 1 species